UACGAAGGGGGCUAGCGUUGCUCGGAAUCACUGGGCGUAAAGCGCACGUAGGCGGCUUUCUAAGUCAGGGGUGAAAUCCUGGAGCUCAACUCCAGAACUGCCUUUGAUACUGGAGAGCUUGAGUCCGGAAGAGGUGAGUGGAACUCCGAGUGUAGAGGUGAAAUUCGUAGAUAUUCGGAAGAACACCAGUGGCGAAGGCGGCUAUCUGGACGGUUUCUGACACUAAGACUCGAAAGCGUGGGGAGCGAACAGG
rnacentral:rRNA from 1 species